AGAAUCAACGCUGGCGGCGUGCCUAACACAUGCAAGUCGAACGCGAAAGGGACUUCGGUCCUGAGUAGAGUGGCGAACGGGUGAGUAACGCGUGGGUGACCUACCCUCGAGUGGGGGAUAACGUUCCGAAAGGGACGCUAAUACCGCAUGACAUUCCGGGUUUGAAGACCUGGAAAUCAAAGCCGGGGACCGCAAGGCCUGGCGCUAGAGGAGGGGCCCGCGUCUGAUUAGCUAGUUGGCGGGUAACGCCCACAAGGCGACGAUCAGUAGCCGGCCUGAGAGGGCGGACGGCCACGACUGGGACUGGAGACACGGCCCAGACUCCUACGGGAGGCAGCAGUGGGGAAUGUUCGCAAUGGGCGCAAGCCUGACGACGCAACGCCGCGUGGAGGAUGAAGGUCUUCGGAUCGUAAACUCCCUGUUGAUCGGGACGAAAAGCUUCAACCUAAUACGUUGAAGACUGACGGUACCGUUGAGGAAGCCACGGCUAACUCUGUGCAGCAGCCGCGGUAA
rnacentral:rRNA from 1 species